CAGCAGCCACGGGAACACGAAGGGUGCAAGCGUUAAUCGGAAUUACUGGGCGUAAAGCGUGCGUAGGCGGUUCGUUAAGUCUGUUGUGAAAUCCCCGGGCUCAACCUGGGAAUGGCAAUGGAUACUGGCAAGCUAGAGUGUGUCAGAGGAUGGUGGAAUUCCCGGUGUAGCGGUGAAAUGCGUAGAGAUCGGGAGGAACAUCAGUGGCGAAGGCGGCCAUCUGGGACAACACUGACGCUGAGGCACGAAAGCGUGGGGAGCAAACAGGAUUAGAUACCCCAGUAGUCCCUGUCUCUUAUAC
rnacentral:rRNA from 1 species